AACGAACGCUGGCGGCGCGCCUAAUACAUGCAAGUCGAGCGAGAAGACGUAGCAAUACGUUUGUAAAGCGGCGAACGGGUGAGGAAUACAUGGGUAACCUACCCUCGAGUGGGGAAUAACUAGCCGAAAGGUUAGCUAAUACCGCGUACGCUCCUUGGACUUCGGUUCAGGGAGGAAAGCGAUACCGUGGGUAUCGCGCUCUUGGAUGGGCUCAUGUCCUAUCAGCUUGUUGGUGAGGUAACGGCUCACCAAGGCUUCGACGGGUAGCUGGUCUGAGAGGACAAUCAGCCACACUGGCACUGCGACACGGGCCAGACUCCUACGGGAGGCAGCAGUAAGGAAUAUUGCGCAAUGGGCGAAAGCCUGACGCAGCGACGCCGCGUGGGGGAUGAAGGUCUUCGGAUUGUAAACCCCUUUCGGGAGGGAAGAUGGAACGAGCAAUCGUUCGGACGGUACC
rnacentral:rRNA from 1 species